UGCAGAAUCCCGUGAACCAUCGAAUCUUUGAACGCAAGUUGCGCCCGACGCCUUCGGGCUGAGGGCACGCCUGCCUGGGCGUCACGCAUCGCGUCGCCCCCUCCCAGUCCCUUGCGGAUAGGCGAUGGGGCGGAAAAUGGCCUCCCGUUAGCUCGGUUGGCCCAAAUGGGAUCCCUCAUCGACGGAUGUCACAACCAGUGGUGGUUGAAAGAUCAUUUGUGCUGUUGUGCUUCACGCUGUCGCUUGUGGUGGAUCGCUCGGAACCAACGGCGUGUCAUGCGCCUUCGACCGCGACCCCAGGUCAGACGGGAUUACCCGCUGAGUUUAAGCAUAUCAAUAAGCGGUGGAGAAGAAACUUACAAGGAUUCCCCUAGUAACGGCGAGCGAACCGGGAAUAGCCCAACUUGAGAAUCGGACGGCUUCGUCGUCCGA
rnacentral:rRNA from 1 species